CCUAUACCUGCUUCCAAUCCUUUGAUUGGCUGCCUCGCGUUCUUUUUCGUCCUCCUCUUUUUUUUUCCUUGUUUUUUUUUCCUUUUUUUCAAGUUUCAGUCUCGGUUUUGUGUGCGCGUGCGCAGCCGAGCCAAGCGGGUUUGGAAAAAGUUUGCGGAGAUUUGUUGGUAAAAUAAAAAAUCUUGCCUGGUAUCACUGGCACAAAACUGGAAUGAACCCAUUGUACCAAGGUUGAUGAAAAUAACAUCGAGAGAUUGCUAGCUAUUGGUGGGUAUUACACUUCAAUAAUUAGGGGCGGGUUAAUUUUGGGGAGGACACAGACCAUCAAUAGGAUGCUCACAAUUUUGUUUAAUUGAAACCUUUGUUGCAGGUUCAAUGCAGGUUUACCUCCCUCAUGUCAUAAAGGUGUAAAGUGCUACAAGAUUCCUUUGCUCACCUGAAUAUGGGUGUCUCUGGGUCACGGGCACAUGUAAGAGCUUCCAUCUAUCAUCCACAAUCCCCAACACUCUGGUACCACAAGAUGCAGAGCCAAUCUUCAGUGGAAUCCACUACAAUGCAGCCUGAGCUCUGCCACAUGCACAAUGGAGAACCUUCUUGCAGCGACACCAGAGGAACUUGAAGUGGCCAGCUUCUGGUCAAAGAAAAUUUAGCAUAAUGUCAAGUUUUUAAGCUUUGUGGUUUUUAUACAUGAUAACUGUAAUUUCAAUUUGUUUCUGACACAAUAAAUAAAUACCACUGCAUAUGCUGAAUGUGUAUAGAAUGGGUGUGUAUAUCUGUGCUUGUAGUAAGUACUAGAUUUUGGGUAUCAAGCAUUCCGAAUACAUUCUGAACAAAAUGCUAUAUAUAAUUAUAUGUAUAUGGGGCCAGGUUGUGGUGCAGGCUGGUUAGCAGCCAGCUGCAAUAAAUCACUCUGUCGAGGCCAGCCUGUGUUGGGGUGAGCACCUGACAAUUAAAAAUAAAAAUAUAGCCCCUGCUCGUUGCUGACCUAAGCAACCCGAAAUAUAGUUGCAUCUAUCAAGUAGGAAAUUUAGGUACCACUUAUAUGUGGGAUGUCUAAUUUACGACACCAUAAAAAUCAUCCAGCCGCUGUUGGAAUGAGGAAGUUGCCUUCACAGUGGAUGAUGAAGCAGCUGCUCCCCCUGUGGCCGGAAUCAAGCAUACCCUCAGGAAGCUAGAAGCUGGAGAAGGUUUAAAUUGCCUCUGCGUCUGUCUCUGUCUCUGUCCUAUGUUAUAUAGCAUUGAAUGUUUGCCUUAUAUGUGUACAAUGUGAUCCACUCUGAGUCCCCUUCAGGGUGAGAAGGGCGGAAUAUAAAUACUGCAAAUAAAUAAAUAAAUAAAUAAAAUGUUCAAG
rnacentral:lncRNA from 11 species